UGCAACUCGCGAACACGUACUUUACACCCUGGAAUCCAGGGGUGCCUCCCUCGCGAACACCCCUGGUUUCGACAACGUCGGGGCGGCCUGGCGUUCUUUUUCUCGUGACGACGUAAAACUCGCCCGGGCCAACAAACGUCGGGCUAAACCAACGCAACAAAAAACCGGCGUGAAAUACGCCAAGGAACAUGAAAGAGAGUGCGCUCUUCUGGUGCCAGCACUGCUGCGCCAGGACGGGCGUUGUCUUCUUGAUGAGUUUAUAAUGACUCUCGGCAACGGAUAUCUCGGCUCUUACAUCGAUGAAGAACGUAGCAAAAUGCGAUACUUGGUGUGAAWUGCAGAAUCCCGUGAACCAUCGAGUCUUUGAACGCAAGUUGCGCCCGAAUCCUUUUGGUCGAGGGCACGUCUGCCUGGGUGUCACGUACACAUGCCUCCCGCAAAUCUUCCCCCUUUGUGGAUGAAGGGACUCGCGGGAGCAGAUAAUGGUAUCCCGUGCCCUUUCCGCGCGGCUUGCCUAAAAAUGGAGAGCCGGUGAUGUAAAGUCACACCUAGUGGUGGUUAACGAGGCCUAACGGCCAACCAGUUCACGGUGUGACUAGUUUCACCAGAAAUCUCCUGCGACACCUUGGACGUCCUAUAAUGGACGUGCUAUUGUCGCGACCCCAGGUCAGGCGGGACUACCCGCUGAA
rnacentral:misc_RNA from 1 species